rnacentral:rRNA from 1 species
UACGGAGGGAGCUAGCGUUGUUCGGAUAUACUGGGCGUAAAGCGCACGUAGGCGGCGCCGUAAGUCAGGGGUGAAAUCCCGGAGCUCAACUCCGGAACUGCCCUUGAAACUGCAGUGCUAGAAUCCUGGAGAGGCGAGUGGAAUUCCGAGUGUAGAGGUGAAAUUCGUGGAUAUUCGGAAGAACACCAGUGGCGAAGGCGACUCGCUGGACAGGUAUUGACGCUGAGGUGCGAAAGCGUGGGGAGCAAACAGG